rnacentral:rRNA from 1 species
CCAAUAGCGUAUAUUAAAGUUGUUGCAGUUAAAAAGCUCGUAGUUGAAUUUCGGGGUCGGUAGGUUGGUCAUGCCAUCGGUAUGCACUGGUCUCACCGAUUCCUCCCUCUUGUAGAAGCGUAAUGCCAUUAAUUUGGUGUUGCGGGGAAACAGGACUGUUACUUUGAAAAAAUUAGAGUGUUUAAAGCAGGCAAACGCCUGAAUACAUUAGCCUGGAAUAAUGAAAUAGGACGUCGAUCCUAUUUUGUUGGUUUCUAGGGUUGACGUAAUGAUUAAUAGGGAUAGUUGGGGGCAUUAGUAUUCAAUUGUCAGAGGUGAAAUUCUUGGAUUUAUUGAAGACUAACUACUGCGAAAGCAUUUGCCAAGGAUGUUUUCAUUAAUCAAGAACGAAAGUUAGGGGAUCGAAGACGAUCAGAUACCGUCGUAGUCUUAACCAUAAGCUAUGCCGACUAGGGAUCGGAUGAUGUUAAUUUUUUAAUGACUCAUUCGGCGCCUUACG